AGCAGCCGCGGUAAUUCCAGCUCCAAUAGCGUAUAUUAAAGUUGUUGCAGUUAAAAGCUCGUAGUUGAAUUUCGGGAUCAAUAUGUUGGUCGUGCCUCGGUACGUACUAGCUUAUUGGUUUCUCCUUUCUGAAGAACCAUGAUGUCAUUUAUUUGGUGUCGUGGGGAAUCAGGACUGUUACUUUGAAAAAUUAGAGUGUUUAAAGCAGGCUCACGCUUGAAUACAUUAGCAUGGAAUAAUGAAAUAGGACGUUUGAUUCUAUUUUGUUGGUUUCUAGGAUCGACGUAAUGAUUAAUAGGGAUAGUUGGGGGCAUUAGUAUUCAAUUGUCAGAGGUGAAAUUCUUGGAUUUAUUGAAGACUAACUACUGCGAAAGCAUUUGCCAAGGAUGUUUUCAUUAAUCAAGAACGAAAGUUAGGGAUCGAAGACGAUCAGAUACCGUCGUAGUCUUAACCAUAAACUAUGCCGACUAGGGAUCGGAUGGAUGUUAAUUUUUUAAUGUACUUAUUCGGUCGUCCGUUA
rnacentral:misc_RNA from 1 species